AUUGAACGCUGGCGGCAGGCCUAACACAUGCAAGUCGAGCGAGCGGCGGACGGGUGAGUAAUGUCUGGGAAACUGCCUGUUGGAGGGGGAUAACUACAGGAAACGGUCGCUAAUACCGCAUACCAUCAGACGUGUCCACAUUGGAUUAGCUAGUAGGUGGGGUAACGGCUCACCUAGGCGACGAUCCCUAGCUGGUCUGUGAGGAUGACCAGCCACACUGGAACUGAGACACGGUCCAGACUCCUACGGGAGGCAGCAGUGGGGAAUAUUGCACAAUGGGCGAAAGCCUGAUGCAGCCAUGCCGCGUGUGUGAAGAAGGCCUUCGGGUUGUAAAGCACUUUCAGCGGGGAGGCGUUACCCGCAGAAGAAGCACCGGCUAACUCCGUGCCAGCAGCCGCGGUAAUUC
rnacentral:rRNA from 1 species